UGGGUGGUGAUGAUUAGCUGCCUUCCCUCUAGUCUUACACUUCUAAAUUAGGGACGGUUAGCGCAGAUAGCCCUCGUGUAGCUUUGCACGAAAUUCAAAACAAACAAACAAUCAUAAUUGAAGCACAUUGUGACACAAAAUCUUAAUAUGCCAGUUCUAUCUUGAAUGAUACAGCUAAUUUCUGAUAAUGAAUAAAAUUGUAACUAUAACAUUAAGCUCACUUUAUGAAACUAGCAGAAAUAGUAAAGUUCAUAUUUGAUGAUAUGAAUAUGUAUGAAUUUUACACCUUGUCAGUCAUAGUCCUUUUAAGCAUGGGAAAAAUUUCAUAUGGUUGUGUAAAGUACUGGUGAGUAAUAAUAUAAAAACCUUGGUAUAAACAACAUUCUUUAAUAAUAUAUGUUAAGAAAGUGUAGAAUAUUUUAAAAUAAAUAUUAGUAUUGUGGUGUAACAUGCAUUUUCAACUUUCCCAUUUUAAUGUAGAAUUUUUGAAAAAAAUAAUUUUCUCUAGAUAUAUGCAGUUUUUGCAUAACGUGGUUAAGAAAAAUGUUAAGUUGAUUUCAUUCUGGCUGCCUUUCUUUCUCAUUCCGUUAACAUAACACCUAUUCUACCAAUGGAAGUAUAGCUGUAAAGCUGCACUUUGUGCAUGAAUGUCAAAGGCAGUAUCCUCCAGUGGUAGGUUAAGUGAUAUCUCGAGGUUACAACCUUCCUUUUGUAUGAAUGGCAAUGACCAGUUAUGUGGUAGCACUAGUUGCUCUGGGUAUAAGUCUUACAUUAUUUAUUCAACUUGGUAAUGUGAGAUUUAGUCAAUCCGAAACAAAAUAAAAAAAGCUGUCAAUGCUAUAUAUUAAGCAAACAUUAGAACUACAGAUAAACAAUAUCCAGAGUUUUACUAAUAGGCACUGUGCUACAUACACAUUAUAGUAGUAUUUAGUGUAUAGGUGUUCUACUUCAUAUCAAACUCUAAACUUACUUCUACCUUACAAAUAUCACACUCAGAUCUGUAUUAAAGUUUAGUGGUGUUUCUAUCUAUAAUGUUAUUAAAGUUUUUUGAUGCUUAUGUAAUGUUGUUAAGCUUUAAUGCUGUUUCUGUUUGUAAUGCUAAUAAGGUUUAUUGGUGCUUCUGAAAUGUUAUUAAGGUUUACUGGUGCUUCUGAAAUGUUAUUAAGGUUUACUGGUGGUUCUGAUAUGUUAUUAAGGUUUACUGGUGCUUCUGCCCAUAAUGUUAUUAAGGUUUACUGAUGCUUCUGUCUGUAAUUUUAUUGAGGUUUACUGGUGCUUCUGCCUGUAAUGUUAUUAAAGUUUACUGAUGUUUAUUAAAAUUUACUGAUGUUUCUGUAAUGUUUUUAAACUUUACUAGGUAAUAUUUUCUAUAUGAAUUCUAGAUGCAAAAUAUCAGUACACAUGAAGAUUUUUACUUACCAGUAAAAUACUAUUAACAUUUUAAGUGUGACUACUUUUGAGGGUUGAUGUAUUUCCAUUUUGCUUAAAAAUAACAUUGAUUUUUAACAGCUCCAUUAAUAUUUCUGGUAGAAGAAGAACUCAAGAACAAAAGAAAAAUUGUGAUUAUGUACUAUUUAGCAAAGAAGAGAUGUCUAGUAGAACAUUAAAGCUGGUUGUAUUUCUCUAAAAAUUAAAUUUCAACAACUUUC